rnacentral:rRNA from 1 species
GUCUACCGCCGUGCCACCCUGAACGUGCCCGAUCUCGUCUGAUCUCGGAAGCUAAGCAGGGUCGGGCCUGGUUAGUACUUGGAUGGGAGACCACCUAGGAAGACCAGGUGCUGUAGGCG